UACGGAGGGUGCGAGCGUUGUCCGGAAUUACUGGGCGUAAAGGGUGCGUAGGCGGUUAGUUAAGUCUGUCGUGAAAUCCCCGGGCUCAACCUGGGAAUGGCGAUGGAUACUGGCUAGCUAGAGUGCGUCAGAGGAUGGUGGAAUUCCCGGUGUAGCGGUGAAAUGCGUAGAGAUCGGGAGGAACAUCAGUGGCGAAGGCGGCCAUCUGGGACAACACUGACGCUGAAGCACGAAAGCGUGGGGAGCAAACAGG
rnacentral:rRNA from 1 species